rnacentral:rRNA from 1 species
UACGAAGGGGGCUAGCGUUGCUCGGAAUCACUGGGCGUAAAGCGCACGUAGGCGGAUUGUUAAGUCAGGGGUGAAAUCCUGGAGCUCAACUCCAGAACUGCCUUUGAUACUGGCGAUCUUGAGUCCGGGGAGAGGUGAGUGGAACUGCGAGUGUAGAGGUGAAAUUCGUAGAUAUUCGCAAGAACACCAGUGGCGAAGGCGGCUCACUGGCCCGGUACUGACGCUGAGGUGCGAAAGCGUGGGGAGCA